ACGUAGGGUGCGAGCGUUAAUCGGAAUUACUGGGCGUAAAGCGUGCGCAGGCGGUUCGUUAAGUUCGAUGUGAAAGCCCCGGGCUCAACCUGGGAAUGGCAUUGAAAACUGGCGGGCUUGAGUCUGGCAGAGGGGGGUGGAAUUCCGCGUGUAGCAGUGAAAUGCGUAGAGAUGCGGAGGAACACCGAUGGCGAAGGCAGCCCCCUGGGCCAAGACUGACGCUCAGGCACGAAAGCGUGGGGAGCAAACAGGA
rnacentral:rRNA from 1 species